rnacentral:tRNA from 1 species
GUUUCUAGGGUGUCAAAUACAGCACAUUAGAUUUUCAUUCUAAAGGAAUAAAUACAAAUUUAUUAGAAAUA